UACGAAGGGGGCUAGCGUUGCUCGGAAUCACUGGGCGUAAAGCGCACGUAGGCGGCUUUCUAAGUCAGGGGUGAAAUCCUGGAGCUCAACUCCAGAACUGCCUUUGAUACUGGAGAGCUUGAGUCCGGAAGAGGUGAGUGGAACUCCGAGUGUAGAGGUGAAAUUCGUAGAUAUUAGGAAGAACACCAGUGGCGAAGGCGGCUCACUGGACUGGUAUUGACGCUGAGGUGCGAAAGCGUGGGGAGCGAACAGG
rnacentral:rRNA from 1 species